UACGUAGGGCGCGAGCGUUGUCCGGAAUUAUUGGGCGUAAAGAGCUCGUAGGCGGCCUGUUGCGUCCGCUGUGAAAUCCCAGGGCUUAACCCUGGGCGUGCAGUGGAUACGGGCAGGCUGGAGGCAGGCAGGGGAGAACGGAAUUCCCGGUGUAGCGGUGAAAUGCGUAGAGAUCGGGAGGAACAUCAGUGGCGAAGGCGGCCAUCUGGGACAACACUGACGCUGAAGCACGAAAGCGUGGGGAGCGAACAGG
rnacentral:rRNA from 1 species